CAUUUUUGAUAAAUUAUAUAUAUAUAUAUACACACUAAAACUGAAUCCACCGAGUUACUGUUCUUAGACUGUAGCUUAGGAAUAGUGAAGUGACGAUUUUGCCCCCGCUUAAGUGAUGGUCUGCUUCCUUGAGUUGACGUUUGAGCAGUGAAUUAGCCGUUUUGCCAUCCAACUCUGUUCUCUUUACUUGAUCUGGCUUUCUUGCGGCCGUUGAUUUCAUUUGUGGCUGCUAUGGUGCGAAUUGGUAGUCUUUCGACCAACGGUUCUAAUGCCUCACCCGUUGGAUCUCCCGAUCGCUCCUCCUCGAGAUUCAACGACAGCCAUCCGACGAUGACAUGAUCAAUCGUCUGGGACCGGUGGUCUCUCCGAGGAUCUCGAACAAAAAAUUAUUAAGCAGGCAAGAUCUCUCUCUUUCUCUACUUGAGCAUGUGGAUAAUGAACCCUAGGAGCUUAAUAUCUGUUUGCAUGUAAAAGGAAAUAUGAUUGGGAGCUGAUAUUCUGAACUAAUCGACCAGUCUCUCAGCUGGAAGGUAAAGAUGGUUGGUUCAAUAUAAGAGCAUUCAAACAAAAAAUCUUAUUUAACGCUGUAUAAAAUACGUAGAAACCUACUUACCCUCUGUUUGUUUGCUAAGAAAAUGCAAGAAAAAAACAGAAAAUUUCAUCUUUUUAAACAUUUUACUGUUGUUUUGUGGGUAGGAGUUCAAUAAUUAUGCUUAUAAGAGCAUUUGAGGUCACCCACUUAAUAACAUUAGUACUUGUUAUUGAACUCACUUGGGUUUCUGUGGAAACUCAAGGACAUAAAGGCAAAAGUUUGAGUCUUUGUUCCAUAAUUAUGUUGGAUUGAAAAUUUGGUGCCUUUCUUCUUUCUUGCAUGUGCUUGGAAUUACAAUGAAAGCAGAAACAGGGAAGGAAAUCUCAUAUGAAAUGGGUAUUUUAUGUUGGAGGUUAGGUUUAUUUUAUGAUUUUGUACGUUAGGUUUCAUACUAAAUCAAUUUGAAAGGUUCCCCCGAAGACUAUAUGAAUUUCUUUUAAGUUUUUAUGAUUAUAAGUUAACACAUUAAAUUUAUUUUUUCUUAUCAGUUCUUUCAACUUUAUUUUGCUAAUUCAGUGAGAGUAGUUGUCAAAGAUGGCAUCAAAGCUUAGCAAAUCUAUGCUUGAUGGAUUGAUCAGUGAUAGGACUUUUGGUUAAAUCCCAAGCAGGGAAUGCAUUCUUUGCUAUAGUUCCCGGACAGGUCCUCUUGGCUUCCCUUGAUGUUAUCAGUAAGUUGAUUAGGGUUCUAUAACCUAUAGGUGUUUAUAGGUCAUUUCUGCUUUUAUAGCUUACUUGUCCAUUAGAUUGACAUAGCCUAUAAAUGGCAAUACAUGUAUCAGUUUUGACCAUAAUCUAUUCUUUUGUACAACAAACUUGCACAUGGUUUGAUUCUGUUAUGGGUAUUUGGUUUGAUUCUAUUUAAGUCUGGGUCUUUUGGUUUCAUUUCUGUUAUAGGUAUUUAAUAAUUUGAGGCAAUGACAGAUCAUACUUUUGUCCACCACAUUCGUAGAAUGCUUGGCGUAUUUAAAUUGUGGUUUGUGCAGUCGAUUUUUUGGCCUUAAUUCUAUAAUAAUAGCCAUUGUCUUCACUAAAUUUUCCCAUUUGUCUACACUAACACCUACCAAUUUCCAAAUUUGUAGCAACAAAAUAAACACCCAUUGAUUUGAUGCUAUUAAAGCUCGAGUGUUUUGGCUUAAUUCUCUCAUACCUAUUUAAUAAAUUGUCACAAUUGUUACUAAGUUCGUUAUCAAUUGAUUAAAUAGACGGAAGUUAUACUUUUGUCCAUCAGAUUAAUAGAAUGGUUGAUGUACCUAAACUGUUGUUUGUCCUGUUGGAUGUUUUAACUUAAUUUUGUGAUGAUGGUCUUCGCUCAAAUUUUUCCAUUUAUCUACACUUAACACCUGUCAUUUUCCAAAUUUGUACCUACAAAGUUAAAACCCCUGCAAAGGAAGAAAGAACAGAAGCCACCUCUAUAGCAAAGCCAUCAAGAGAAAGAUCCCCCUCCAACAGACAUCAAGGCAGAAAAUCCCCUUCCACCAUCCAAUAGCAUAUAUAUAUGAAGACCAGUCCAAACUCUUUUGAACAAUGAACAUCUUAAAACUGCUGAUAUUUUGAUGCUAUUUUGAUGUUCUGAUUGCUGCUUGGUUUAUUAAAAUAUGGUCAAUAUUUUAAUAUGACAAGCAGUAUAUAAAACAUGUUAUUAGUCUAUUUUUUGUAACAUCAA